AGGACGAACGCUGGCGGCGUGCCUAACACAUGCAAGUCGAACGGAGUCAGGAAGCUUGCUUUUGACUUAGUGGCGGACGGGUGAGUAACGCGUGAGUAACCUGCCUCUGAGAGGGGAACAACGUUCUGAAAGGAACGCUAAUACCGCAUAACGUAUCGAAGCCGCAUGACUUUGAUACCAAAGAUUUUAUCGCUCGGAGAUGGACUCGCGUCCGAUUAGUUAGUUGGUGAGGUAACGGCUCACCAAGACCGCGAUCGGUAGCCGGACUGAGAGGUUGAUCGGCCACAUUGGGACUGAGACACGGCCCAGACUCCUACGGGAGGCAGCAGUGGGGGAUAUUGCGCAAUGGGGGCAACCCUGACGCAGCAACGCCGCGUGAAGGAUGAAGGUUUUCGGAUUGUAAACUUCUUUUAUCAGGGACGAAAUCUGACGGUACCUGAUGAAUAAGCUCCGGCUAACUACGUGCCAGCCGCGGC
rnacentral:rRNA from 1 species